CCAAAAUGGCCGACAGUUGGACGGGGCACAAAAUGGCCGACAGUUUGGUUUAAGGCAUAAAAUGGCGGAUUGAUGGAUUGGGCACAAAAUGGCCGACAGUUUGGUUUAAGGCAUAAAAUGGUGGAUUGAUGGAUUGGGCACAAAAUGGCCGACGGUUGCGUUUGAGUCACAAAAUGGCUGAAAUCUGUAUGAGACCCAAAAUGGCUGACGGUUGGGUUUGGGGCACAAAAUGGCUGAAACUUGGAUGAGGCCCAAAAUGGCCGACGGUUGGGUUUGAGGCACAAAAUGGCUGAUUGAUGGAUUGGGCACAAAAUGGCUGACAGUUGGGUUUGGGUCACAAAAUGGCUGAAAGUUGGACGAGGCCCAAAAUGGCCGACAGUUUGGUUUAAGGCAUAAAAUGGCGGAUUGAUGGAUUGGGCACAAAAUGGCCGACAGUUGGGUUUGGGGC